rnacentral:rRNA from 1 species
UGUCGGACGGGUGAGUAACGCGUGGGUAACCUGCCUCAUACAGGGGGAUAACAGUUAGAAAUGACUGCUAAUACCGCAUAAGCGCACAGGGACACAUGUUCCGGUGUGAAAAACUCCGGUGGUAUGAGAUGGACCCGCGUCUGAUUAGCUGGUUGGCGGGGUAACGGCCCACCAAGGCGACGAUCAGUAGCCGACCUGAGAGGGUGACCGGCCACAUUGGGACUGAGACACGGCCCAAACUCCUACGGGAGGCAGCAG